AGAGGGCAAACAGUCAUGCUUCACAGGGUGAAGAUUCUGGCCUUCGGAUGUUGCAGACGAAAAGGGUCUUUCUGGAAUAUUGGAGACAGCUGUGCAAUGAUACAGCAAAAAAGGAACUGGUGAACAAGGACUUGACCUUUGCAAAUCUUCAGGUUUUUUUGAACAGGGCGCCACAAAAGAUAAAAGGAUGAUUUCAAAAUAACUCAAACCUGUCAAUCAAAAACUUCAAGGCUUCAAAGCAACAAGCUAAGGAUAGAUAUGAACUGCCAACAUAGACACAACGGGUACCUGCCUAGCUUUGAUAAACAGAACCAACUUUUAAUGGUAUUGUGCUGAAGUUCCCAAGAAAUGCACUAACUGGUAAUCUUCACAAUGUAUCUUUUCUCCAUGUUGGCACUGUUGCGCUCUCCUCAACUCUUUUGAGUUG